rnacentral:lncRNA from 1 species
CUCAUCCGAGAGUUCUAAUAGCCCAAAGUUGGUUAGUCUUCUGCUUUAGUUGGAACUAAAACAAAUGAGAACCUGCCCCGAGAGAUGUGGAUCCAGGAAGAAUUCACGUAGAAUGUAUUAACAUGAGCAAUGAAGGCAAACAAGAAAGGACAGUUGAUUACCUCCUAUCAUCCUAGAGAAACCAUUCACUUGUGCACACAUUGGUUUAGCCAACACUCACUGAGGGGCAGUAUAGUAUAUGGUUAAUGGUUCAGGCUCUGGAGUGAGAUGCCCUGGGUUCAAACCCCGGUUCCACCAAUUCUGUGCCCCAUGGCCUCCAGCAAACUACUAAUUUCUCUGUUUCUUCACCAGCAGUCAACAUCUCAGGAACUCGAUGUCAGAGGAUUUUUCUUCCUCUUUUUGCUCUCCCAUGUGCUAUAUUCUUUCCAGCAGCUAACAAGCAAGUUGUAAAACAGGACUGAUGCCACCUUACAUCAGCUGAGAAAACCUCAAAGAAUCUGAAUCCUUCCAUUUCAAAUAUUGUUUAUUUUCCUUCUCUCUUCCCCAACUUCAAAUCAACCUAUGCUUCGAGUCUGGGAAUCUAAGGGAGUUCUCAAGCCCAUGUAUCUGUUUCCUUUAAUAGACUUGUAGCUUAAUUAAACUAAGCAUUAGCCUCCUUUUUGUCCUUUACUUUCUUUAAUUCCUUGGUCCUGACUC